rnacentral:rRNA from 1 species
UACGGGGGGGGCAAGCGUUGUUCGGAAUUACUGGGCGUAAAGGGCUCGUAGGCGGCCAACUAAGUCAGACGUGAAAUCCCUAGGCUCAACCUAGGAACUGCGUCUGAUACUGGAUGGCUUGAGUUUGGGAGAGGGAUGCGGAAUUCCAGGUGUAGCGGUGAAAUGCGUAGAUAUCUGGAGGAACACCGGUGGCGAAGGCGGCAUCCUGGACCAACACUGACGCUGAGUGAGCGAAAGCCAGGGGAGCAAACGGG